rnacentral:rRNA from 1 species
UACGGAGGGGGCUAGCGUUGUUCGGAAUUACUGGGCGUAAAGCGCACGUAGGCGGCUUUGUAAGUUAGAGGUGAAAGCCCGGGGCUCAACUCCGGAAUUGCCUUUAAGACUGCAUCGCUAGAAUUGUGGAGAGGUAAGUGGAAUUCCGAGUGUAGAGGUGAAAUUCGUAGAUAUUCGGAAGGAAACACCAGUGGCGAAGGCGGCUCACUCGGAGCUGGUAUUGACGCUGAGGUGCGAAAGCGUGGGGAGCAACAGG